rnacentral:rRNA from 1 species
AUUGAACGCUGGCGGCAUGCCUUACACAUGCAAGUCGAACGGCAGCGCGGGGCAACCUGGCGGCGAGUGGCGAACGGGUGAGUAAUAUAUCGGAACAUACCCUAGAGUGGGGGAUAACGUAGCGAAAGUUACGCUAAUACCGCAUACGCACUAAGGUGGAAAGUGGGGGAUCUUCGGACCUCAUGCUCAUGGAGUGGCCGAUAUCUGAUUAGCUAGUUGGUGAGGUAAAGGCUCACCAAGGCGACGAUCAGUAGCUGGUUUGAGAGAACGACCAGCCACACUGGAACUGAGACACGGUCCAGACUCCUACGGGAGGCAGCAGUGGGGAAUUUUGGGACAAUGGGGGCAACCCUGAUCCAGCAAUGCCGCGUGAGUGAAGAAGGCCU